rnacentral:rRNA from 1 species
GAUGAACGCUGGCGGCGUGCCUAACACAUGCAAGUCGAGCGGCAGCGAGGGGUGCUUGCACCCUGUCGGCGAGCGGCGGACGGCUGAGUAACGCGUGGGAACGUGCCCCAAAGUGAGGAAUAACUGCCCGAAAGGGUAGCUAAUACCGCAUAUUAUCUUCGGAUCAAAGGAUUUAUCCGCUUUGGGAGCGGCUCGCGUCGGAUUAGGUAGUUGGUGAGGUAAUGGCUCGCCAAGCCGACGAUCCGUAGCUGGUCUGAGAGGAUGACCAGCCAGACUGGAACUGAGACACGGUCCAGACUCCUACGGGAGGCAGCAGUGAGGAAUCUUCCACAAUGGGCGAAAGCCUGAUGGAGCAACGCCGCGUGCAGGACGAAGGCCUUCGGGUUGUAAACUGCUUUUAUAAGUGAGGAAUAUGACGGUAACUUAUGAAUAAGGAUCGGCUAACUACGUG